AGGAGGCUGCCCGAGGCCUUAUUAGGGAUUAGGGAUACUCUUUCGAGGUCAUUUGAGAUUUGAAGGAAAAAUUCAGAAAUUUAAGGAUUUUGGCUAUGAUUUUGGUAUAAAUUUUGUGUGAUUUGGAGUUUAUAUGAAAGAGAUAUGGACACUCAAAGUUAAGGUGAUGAUUUUAUACCUAUUGUCAUUCUUUUGAACAUAAUGCA
rnacentral:lncRNA from 1 species